rnacentral:lncRNA from 1 species
GACUAUAGAGUGCCGUUUUGGUUGAGGUUUGUGUAUGGCUCUUUAGACCGCUGUGUAAUGCUAUCAUGCGGUUGUUACUAAAGUUGGUAUAAUUAGAGAAGCAAGCAGUCGGCAACAUUCAUCUCUCGAGGGAGUGUCUGACUCGGUGUUAUGGUGUGUUUGACCCUAAAUUAAUUUUACACUGGAAUAUCCCUUUAAGUUAGGGAGCUUAACAGUUCACUUCGCUUUUGCUUCUCUGCUGUGGCUGAAGCAUGGUUGUUGGCAUCUCUAACACAAAGCUUUAAUCAUUGUUUAGUGGGUUAAAACUUCAAUCUUUGAGCUUUCAGCCAUGUUUGCUGUCGGCCGGUGAAUGGAGGAGGGAGCAAAACCCAAGAUAAUUAAGGUCAGGUUUUUGUAUUGGACGUUUUAUCUCAACUAUCAACUCCACCCUCAUCUCAACAAUCAAUUCAACUGCCAACGCAACAAUCAACUCAACUAGAUGGCGAGCUACAACUAGAAAGUGUGAUAGGACAAAAUCAUCUGUUGGAGUUCCUGCUAUCACUCAUGAGCAAACAGAUUUUGGAUUUAUGGUGUUUUUUUUUUUUUUCCCGACAAGGGUUUGGAACCAUUUACAAUCAUUGUUUCCCUGUGUGAAAUGAUUUAGCCUCCCAACAGUUCCUGGACCCAGUCUCAAACACCAUUCAUCUGCAAUAUUUGUUUUGUUUUGUUAGUUGUUCAUCCUGUUAAAUUUUUUGUUAUGAUUUAAAUAAAAAACACAAAACCUAUAUCUUUGUCUGUUACCUCAUUCACCCACACCUCAGGCGCCUUCAAGACCAGGGUAUCUGAUGCUGCUAACAGUCAUAGUCAAAAUGCCCAGCUCAAAUAAGUGUUGCACUUGCCAUCCAAAUGUGGUCCCCUCCAGUACCAGAACUACACUAUAGGGUCACAUGGAUUAAUUCAAUGAUUAAGGAUAAGGGUUCAAAAUCAACUGGCUGACCUCACAGUGGCCAUGUUCACAGCUUUGUUACGGUCUGUGGUUGACACACUUCAUAAUUCAUGUCAGCUCUUGAAUAUUCGGUCUCUCACCACAGUUUAGCUGAGAAUAUGAAAGGUAUUUGUGAUGCAUUAACGUGCACUUUCAGGGCAUUUACCCUUUGAUGAAUAUGAAACCUCCCACACAUUCACAACAUUUAUUGAAGUCCUCACAACACCUUUGAUGAAAAGCAUCAGUAAAUCUUGUUAGUCAAGAGAAUGAAUAACAAUGUCAAAGUCCUGGAUAGCACUUUAUGUAACAGUGCAGCUCCAGAGGGGAAUCAAAUAAGGACUAUUGUUCUGCACCCAGAAAGUGAGUAAUAAGGGCUGUUAUAAGGCUUGUAGGCAGACCUGUAGGGGAGGGAAAUGAGCGCCUUCUUGUACUGAGAAUCUCUUUGAGCAUAAUGCGAGCUGAAUUGCUGGGUACUUAUAGCUACAAAGUAUCAUUAUAUCCCACUCCCGUCUCCCUCCUGACAAAGUGAGAUAAUAAUUAUGAUGAUAAUGCAGAGCACAAAUAAGAUCAUGUUAAAUGAUCAUUUGUGGCAGCAGGAUGUUAAUGUAUGGAGAUGUUUUUGUCAAUCUGAUUGUCUUAUUGUGCUUGUCUGCUGUCUCAGUUCAACACUGGCUGGAGUGUGUCCUUUUUGACUCUGUGAUUACACAGAAAUGCUUCAUCAGUAAAGAGGCGUUUUGAUUCUACACCAGUUGCAGACAGUUUGGCCUGCAUUUGACUUCUCCCAGGGGCUUCAUCCUAUUACGAGCUCUUUUCAGGCUUGCACGGUAUGUUGAAAAUACCUGCACCAUUAAAAAUCCAGCAGACACUGGUGGGAUUUGUUGUCUUCUGGGAGAAUUGGAGAUAGAUUUUGAACACACUGGAAUCUCUUUCUAGGAAAUAUGCUGUCUUGCUGUUUAAUAGCUGCUCGCUCUUUUUACAUGAGAAAUGUGAUUAUAAUCAUGAUCAUGACAGAAUUAAAGCUCCUUAUUGCUGGAAUUUAGUUUUGCCUGAGUUUCAACAUCUCUUUUCUGUUCUUAGAAAAAAGGUUUACAGAUCUUAGAAUCGGAUUUAGGCUUUUUCCCAAUGAGAGGUUAUGUAAAUUCAGGCCAAGAGCUCCUUUUCUGUGUGCUUGUCAUUGCCAACCAUCAACUUGAAACGCUAUGGUGCCUCAAACAGGGUUGUUUUUUUUGCGUUUUUAUGUAAAUGUCUUUUCAUGGAGAUGAAUGAUGCCAAAUCAUUGUCAGAUGUGAGUUGAUGGCCUCCAGAUCUGCAUUUCAGUGGAUUCAUCCAGCUCUCCUUUUCUGUGAAGAAGCAAAUAUAACUGAAACCAGUUUGACAAUGUGACUCAGACUGCAAACUGGAGCUUUUUGCUGUAGACACCAACUUUUCUGUUGUUUCUUUUUUUAUUUUUAUGUUUUAUUUAUAGAGACUUGUUUUGUGUUUAAAGAGUAGACAACACUAAGUUUAAGUCCAUUACACUUGCAAGCCUCAAAACCUGGAUUAGGAUUUCUAAAAAUGAUGAGUGGAAUGAAGCAGAAUACUUAAAAACCAGGCUGAAUCCUCAAUACCAGUAUGCAUGGAGACCUGCUGGCCUUUGGCCAAUGCCAGCCCAAGGCAUAAGUGAACUGAGGGACCACAUACGGCCCCACAGUGACUUGGGGGCCCACAAUGAUCACAGUGGGGGGUGGGGGGGUGCGCUCAGUACCUACCGGGUAGUUGUUCGGUAGUUGUUGCCGGUCAGCCAGUAAAAAAAAAAGUCAUUAACCCAAAAACCUAAUUUUGCUUAGGGUCCCAUUGAGGUUUGAGCCAGCACUGCCUUUGGUACUGAUUAUGAAUUAAUGGUCCAAUUGUCAUCAUGACUGAUUAUUUAUGGGCAGAUAGGGCUUAGUGGUAGUGUAGUUGAUCUGUCAAUCAGGAGGGUGGCCGGUCAGUCUUUGCUUGUGCAGCCAACAUAUUGAAGAGUCUUUUUUUAAUUCAUCAUCUAGACAACAUAGUUGUAUUUUUAUAAGUUUCUCCAAUGGUUCAUCCACAAAAGUAGAAAAAUGGUGGAUGGCAGGACUUGUUAAUGAAAGAACCUGGAUUAACAAUCAAAACCAAGAGUGCAGAUAAAGUGCUGCAGCAAAGCAGGUAAAAACAAGACAAUCAGGUGUGUGUUAGUGAAGUAGAGGGAGAGAGUGAGCCAGAGCAAUAAUGAGCAACAACAAGCUAAUGAUUGUGUGGCUGAAUAGUGAGUGACCUAUAUGUCCUUAUCAUGAUAAAAUAAAGGGACUAAACUGGUCUCUGUCUUUCUGUUUUAAAGAUGAAAGCUGAAAGGGUAAAAAAAAGUAACUCAUUAAAAAACAAUUACAGUUGUGUUUAACUUCUAAAUGUGCAGUUUAAACUGUAUUGCUGUAAGACAUUGUUUACAGAGUGUUUUUGCUCUUUUAUACCACACUUUGAAAUGAUUUCUCAAGACAUAAAGGUUGUGUGUCUGACUUAAUUUCAGAUAGAGGUUUAUGAAACCAAAGCCUUUAAGCUGUUUGAUGCUUAAUUUGACUAAAUAUAUAGAGUCAGUGUGGAACAACAAUAUCAGAGCAGAUCUUUAGGACCAGUUCAGCCCUGGGAAUAAGUUAGACGUGGAGUAUAUAAUCUAAUAAAUAUAUAAUCUAGUCUAAUAAUCUACUAUAAUCUAGUAAUAAAUGUCCUUAAAAUUGAUAAAUAAUAAUGAUGAAUAAUCAUGAUCUAAGUAUUACACAAAGUAGUUAUCAGUAUCUGUUUGGCAUCCCCAUCCACUCAGCCCAAUUUUCUAGACUUCAAGGUAAGUUUCUUAUUCCUACAUAGGAUUUGGAUUUAUUGGUUGUUCAAUCAAGAGAUUCUUAAUUAAAAGGAAAACAAACAACAUGCCAAACCAGGUAGCUUUAACUUAGAUUGAACCUGUCAUGCACAUUUUUUCUAAGCUAGAAAAGUUAAACAAAAAUGUCAUGGCAUACUGCUUUUUGUGGCCGGCAUUUUUUUUUUUUUUUGUCAUGAAUCCCCAUCAAUACCAUGUGUUUGAAGAAAAUAUAACAUCAGUGUUUGUCAGUUAUUUGACCACUAUUAUGAUUCAGGUAUUCACCCUCCACAUAUUUGUCUGAAAAGUACCCAACAAAUACACAAUGUACUCAUGUGUGGUGUGUUUUCAGUGCAUCAUCUUAAACUUAGACUGAAACCAUCUGUCUUCUCAUGUUUACUUCUUGCAGAAAUCUGACCGGGAGGUAAACCUGAAAACAUGUGGAUGAAGUUGAGGAAAGACCAUCUGGGAUUUUUCAGGAAUUUUGUGCAUGUAUUAUUGAAACUAUAGAUUCAGUCAUUGUGAUUGGCCUGACAGUUGACGUGGAAGUGUGGGUGUGAAAGCGCCAUUGUGACCUGUAGGGUAAAAGCACUCUAAGUGUGGAGGAGACUGAUGCAGAAAUAAACAGUCAGUUAUAGCCAAAAGCUACAUUUCAAACCAAAGGUUGUUCCUGAUGCAGAAAUAACAGUCUUUUUUUCUAUUUGAUCAAAUAGAAAAAAGAGAGAGCCAGAGCUGGAGUGAGGAUUGACAGAGAAUGGAGCUGUGAAGGUAGAGAAAGUUAGGGUGAAGGUGUAAUUACGGCUGAUUAUGGCAAAGAGAGAGGAGGGGUAGGGCAGCACAUUUGUCUUCCCCUUCUAAUGAGUGGAGGCCGGGUGAGCCGCAUUAACUGCCUCACGCUGUCGUUUCUCCUCUGCCCUGCCACUUUGUCACAAGGACACUCUUCUUGGAAGAUGAGACAGGGUCAAGUGCAUGUGAAUCCCCUGGUAUUAUUCUUACAGACCUCCAGGGCCCCUGUUUCACCAGGCGCUGGGGAUUGGAGCACUUUAGCGAGCCUUUGAGGUGCACCACUCAGCCUCUGCAUCAUUAAACCAGGCUAAAAAUACACCAGCCCACCCAUGGUUCCGUCUUCAAAGAGGACCGGUACAUCGCCUCACUAAAACAAACGUCGACUUCUGUUCAUGACAACAUCCUUUCCCUCCCCGUCUUUGACUUUUGAUCAAAUGAAACAAGCUCAGACAAACUCAACAGGCUUUUAAGUGCCUUUUUUCACUAACUGAUUCAUAUGAUCUUCAUUAAAACCUCUGCAGCCAGAGCCACAGUGUGAUGUUCACACUCUUAUUAAUUCUCAUCCCAUGGGCUUUAAUGGACUAAAAAAUCAAUACGAGUUAGUGUCAUGCUGGAGUGACAUCCCCUACAAGGCAUCUGCUCUGUACUGAAGAUAAAAAAAACCCUCCAUGGAUGGCACAGCUACAUGAUUAUCGAUGACACGAUUACUUUGAUCACCAAUCAUCCCUGAGAUUCCUCUAGAUAAUAACCCAACUCAUGAAGCAUGAGGAAUAAAGGGAAAAUGCACCACAGAAAAGUCCAAUUUAUACUGUCAAAUACAUAUAUUUCUUAUCAUUUACAAACUUAUACUGUUGGUAUACUUAAAGAAAGCUGAUCUGUAUGGCAAAGUUACCACAAGAAAAGGAAAGAGGCAUGAAUUCAGGCAACACUCUUAUUGAAAUGAGGACAAUAUUUUUUUUUACUUAUUUUAUUCUGUGUUUAUGGUUUUUGCAGCAAAACACCAAUAUAAACUUAUAUAUGUGCAAACCUACUUGGCAAUAAACCUGAUUUUGUUUCCGAUUUUGUUAUUUUAACUCCACUAAGAGUAUCUGAGUUACAAAGAAAUUUAAGAUAGAAGGUCAAACAUGCCAGCGGCUUACUUUGGGUUUUGUUACUCCGGUCCCGACCUCUGAACUCCCUCCUUAUUUCUUUAAGCUCCUUUUAACAUGUAAGCCGGCACACAUUUCCUCCCUGUAUUUAAUGUAUCCUGCACUCUGAACAUUAUCAUGUUUCUCUGUCAAGGGCAGAGCAAUGUCAAUACAGCACAUCAUGCAGUCCUCAUAAAUCAGCUACAGAGCCCUCACUCCACGCAGACCCGACAUGAUAGCUUCAAAGUAAAUCACAGUCAUUUCAUGUUGGAACAAUUGUAUUAUUUCUUCCAUGGAGGUUACAGCAUUUGUCAUUUACUCUCAUAGAUACCAGGUGCAUUGAAUAUAGAGUCUGAUUAGUUAAAUGUUAUAAGUAUCAGAAACUGUAGAAAUAACGGCCUCCAGUUUCUUUAAAUGUCAGAUAGAUAAAAUGAUAGGCCUGUUCAACAUUAUAUAAUUGAAGCCACUAAUGGGGUCUGUAAAAAAUCCUACUUUUAGCAUUAUUACCCUUUAAUAUGAGAACUGAUCAUUCCUCUGACAGUUUCAUUAUUAUUUAUCUAUUACUUUAAUCACAUCUCUUUGCGUGGGCUUUUAAAAUAGCUGGUGAGCAUGACAGUUUUUGGCCUUCUUAAUAUCCCUUUGGUUACUGUGUUAUUUUUUCUGUGUGUUUUAGUAUCUUUUAACUUACAUUUGUGAUUGAUAGUAUGUUUGUAGGCUUGUACAGCACUUCGGUUCAAUUUGGGUCAUUACUUUAAAUGUGCCAUAUAAAUAAUUGUUAACUUGACUAUUCGGCCUUUACUUAGAUCGCUCUGGUCUGGCACAUACAGGUUGCAAGUUUAAGGUCUUUAUAGGUGGAGUCAUAGACUAUAUAUAGUAUGGAUGUCAUCUGCCUCCUUGCCAGGUGAAGCCUUUGCAAGAACAGCCCCCCCUGGUGACGGCCUGCAGUAUAGGUCAUAAAUUCCGCCUCCUCCAGCAAUUCUUAUGGAGUUGUGGACAAACUUUAGAAAUUUAUUACACAGAAUAUAAAUGUUUCUCCCCCCGGGUUGCAAUGUUGACAUGUAGUUAUUGUAAGACUGGUUUGUGCUACUCGGGGUUCAUGUUUUCUCUGAUUGAUAUUUGAUACAGCCUAUGGGCGUACAAGAUUGAGUGGAUCAUCAGGGGGAUAUGCUUUUUGAGCAGAGCGUCAUCACAGCGACUCUCUCAUCGAACGCCACUGCGCAAAUGCUGGUCUAGUGUAGAACAGUCCCAGGUUUAAAUGACAGUUGAGAUGUAAAUCUACAAACAGCGACAUUGUGGCUGCUGCUGCCUCAAAAACCUUAGAAAAAUUCUUCCUGUGUUUUGGUGCUUUUGUCGUCAGGAAGAGAAAAAGCUGGGAUUUUUCUUGAAAACCCCAAAACGGCAUUAUGGAACCUUCCAAGAAAUGAAGUGCAGAGUGGAGGAAAAGCUAAAAUGGACUUUCAGUGCAAGUGUGAAAUUGAACAAGCCUCCUUGUGGUCAUGUCCUUGAAAGAACUGUACUCGAGCUGCCUGGUGGGCACGUCCUUCAACAUUUACCUAAAAUACACCAGAGCCUGACGUGUGAAGUUAUCAAAGUGGACUGUUUGAGAAAACAUUUCCACAACUGUUCAAAAAUGAUAAAAUCACAUCACAGAUCAGUGUAAUAGGUCUCCUUUAAACAGUCUUUUCAGGGUCCAAAACAUAUUGCAUUAUUUCUUUCAAAAUCUGCCAUUUUCGAAAGAAAAACACUGGAUAAUUCAAUUCGGACAGUAUUGUUACAAUGCAGCAGUGACACCAAUUUAAGAAGAUUAAAAAGGAAUUUUCAUGAAUUACAAAUCAUGUAAAGCUGCAAACAAAGCUAAGGAUGAAAAAGUGCUCUCCAAUUAACAGCAGUUUUACAGUCAACCAUUCUCCACCAUGCCAACAGCGGUAUGACGGUCUUCUACUGUUUAUGGCAAGAACAACAAGUAUGAAAAUCACAAUCACUUACAAGUGCAAGAAACAAAAUAAAUAAUACAAAAGCAACCGCAGAAUGAUGAUGGUGUUUUCUGUCUUGCUUUUUUUUGGCUGAUUUCAGGUACGUUUCCAGUGGUGCCCCUGUUCCUUGGUUUUCUCCCUCAUUAUUUUUCAGCCAGGAAGGAAUUUUCCAAACUGAUUAUUCCUGUGAUCAGUUCUCUGUAAACUGGUGUACUGAAUCUAAUCCAGUCAUUCAUAUUAAAUUUUUUGGACCAUACCCAGUGACAGAGAAAGGGUCUUAAUUGUCUGAAUGUAUGUGGUUCUGUUUUGUUAUUGUUAACUAGAUAUCAUUUGUCAUUUUGGUGCAGUUUCCCAGCAGAUGGAGGGAGGUUCCUCCAGCAGCGCCACAUCUAGAUUUUCUGUCAUCUCUUGUGCCUUUUUUGCACAGCCGUGUCAGGGUUUAAUACAUUGUGUUCAGUAUUUUAAAUUUCUCUUAUUUGUUUUUGGUACUGCACAGGGGCUGUCUUGUGCUUUCCCUUUAUUUUUCCAUGAGAUGUCGUCUCAUCAAGUUAACCAGCAAUGUCAAUAAUACAGGCUGUCAUACUGAAUUGAAACAGUAAAAACAGUUGCAGCUCAAAACAUUAGAAUGUCCUGAGAAAAUUCUGAUUUUCCCCACUAUUUAAAUCAAAAAGCAAAAAGCAGCUGUAAGUCUAGCGUUUUAUCAAGUCCAGAGUCGACACAGCCAAAAGUCAACCAGGAGGUUUUUAAGACCUGCAUGCUUCCUUCUGCUUUAUGGAAAUAUAGAUUUUCUUUUCCAGCAGGACCUGGCACCUGCCACCAGUGCCAAAUCUACCAGAAACUGGUUUGCUAAUCACAGUAUUACUGAGUUUGAUUGUCUUGAGCUGAACCCCAUAGAGGAUCUCUGGAGUUUUGUCAAGAUGAGCUGAAGAAGCUGUCAAAGAAUCUUGGGAAUCAAUACAGACUGAUGGACUCCAUGACAUGGGAAAAAGGUUCUAAAAGUUAUUCCCAAGAAUAUUCAAUGUAAUAACUGUUGUUAAGUUACUAUUUGUAAGAAUUACAAGGAAAUUUAACCACAGCUGCUGAACAGCUGUCAAAACUAAACAACUUGGACAUUUUCAAGAAACACAACACUUUUUAAGAGGAACUCAAAUAGCAUAUGCAUGUGACACAUAUGGUUGACACUCCGACAUGUAAAACACACAGAGCGAUCCACUCUCAACC